GUCCCUAUUCUGAUCUGUGUCAGUGUGUAUCAGGGAUCCUUAGGACAGGUGUCAAUCCAUAUCUGCCAAGUGACCCUAUGUAGGAGGAACAGUCCCUAUUCUGCUCUGUGUCAGUGUGUAUCAGGGAUCCCUAGGACAGGUGUCAAUCCAUAUCUGCUAAGUGACCCUAUGUAAAAAAGGCCUGAUGAGAUGAGCUGCCUUGGGCUAAAAAUGGUCCACACGCUGCUGUAUUUUAGCUCUGAAUGCCGGUUGACUUGCG